rnacentral:rRNA from 1 species
GACGAACGCUGGCGGCGCGCCUAACACAUGCAAGUCGAACGGAGCUGAGAGAAGCUUGCUUUUCUUAGCUUAGUGGCGAACGGGUGAGUAACGCGUGAGUAACCUGCCCUGGAGUGGGGGACAACAGUUGGAAACGUCUGCUAAUACCGCAUAAGCCCACGAUCCGGCAUCGGAUUGAGGGAAAAGGAUUUAUUCGCUUCAGGAUGGACUCGCGUCCAAUUAGCUAGUUGGUGAGGUAACGGCCCACCAAGGCGACGAUUGGUAGCCGGACUGAGAGGUUGAACGGCCACAUUGGGACUGAGACACGGCCCAGACUCCUACGGGAGGCAGCAGUGGGGGAUAUUGCACAAUGGGGGAAACCCUGAUGCAGCGACGCCGCGUGGAGGAAGAAGGUUUUCGGAUUGUAAACUCCUGUCGUUAGGGACGAUAAUGACGGUACCUAACAAGAAAGCACCGGCUAACUACGUG